AAGUCGUAACAAGGUUUCCGUAGGUGAACCUGCGGAAGGAUCAUUAGUGAUUGCCUUCGGGCUAAAAACUAUAUCCCUAACACCUGUGAACUGUUGAUUAACUUCGGUUAAUAUUUUUACAAACAUUGUGUAAUGAACGUCUAGUUAUAAUAACCAAAAAUAACUUUCAACAACGGAUCUCUUGGCUCUC
rnacentral:misc_RNA from 1 species